rnacentral:rRNA from 1 species
AUUGAACGCUGGCGGCAGGCCUAACACAUGCAAGUCGAACGGUAACAGGAAGAAGCUUGCUUCUUUGCUGACGAGUGGCGGACGGGUGAGUAAUGUCUGGGAAACUGCCUGAUGGAGGGGGAUAACUACUGGAAACGGUAGCUAAUACCGCAUAACGUCGCAAGACCAAAGAGGGGGACCUUCGGGCCUCUUGCCAUCGGAUGUGCCCAGAUAGGAUUAGCUUGUUGGUGGGGUAACGGCUCACCAAGGCGACGAUCCCUAGCUGGUCUGAGAGGAUGACCAGCCACACUGGAACUGAGACACGGUCCAGACUCCUACGGGAGGCAGCAGUGGGGAAUAUUGCACAAUGGGCGCAAGCCUGAUGCAGCCAUGCCGCGUGUAUGAAGAAGGCCUUCGGGUUGUAAAGUACUUUCAGCGGGGAGGAAGGGAGUAAAGUUAAUACCUUUGCUCAUUGACGUUACCCGCAGAAGAAGCACCGGCUAACUCCGUGCCAGCAGCCGCGGUAAUACGGAGGGUGCAAGCGUUAAUCGGAAUUACUGGGCGUAAAGCGCACGCAGGCGGUUUGUUAAGUCAGAUGUGAAAUCCCCGGUCUCAACCUGGGAACUGCAUCUGAUACUGGCAAGCUUGAGUCUCGUAGAGGGGGGUAGAAUUCCAGGUGUAGGGGUGAAAUGCGUAGAGAUCUGGAGGAAUACCGGUGGCGAAGGCGGCCCCCUGGACGAAGACUGACGCUCAGGUGCGAAAGCGUGGGGAGCAAACAGGAUUAGAUACCCUGGUAGUCCACGCCGUAAACGAUGUCGACUUGGAGGUUGUGCCCUUGAGGCGUGGCUUCCGGAGCUAACGCGUUAAGUCGACCGCCUGGGGAGUACGGCCGCAAGGUUAAAACUCAAAUGAAUUGACGGGGGCCCGCACAAGCGGUGGAGCAUGUGGUUUAAUUCGAUGCAACGCGAAGAACCUUACCUGGUCUUGACAUCCACGGAAGUUUUCAGAGAUGAGAAUGUGCCUUCGGGAACCGUGAGACAGGUGCUGCAUGGCUGUCGUCAGCUCGUGUUGUGAAAUGUUGGGUUAAGUCCCGCAACGAGCGCAACCCUUAUCCUUUGUUGCCAGCGGUCCGGCCGGGAACUCAAAGGAGACUGCCAGUGAUAAACUGGAGGAAGGUGGGGAUGACGUCAAGUCAUCAUGGCCCUUACGACCAGGGCUACACACGUGCUACAAUGGCGCAUACAAAGAGAAGCGACCUCGCGAGAGCAAGCGGACCUCAUAAAGUGCGUCGUAGUCCGGAUUGGAGUCUGCAACUCGACUCCAUGAAGUCGGAAUCGCUAGUAAUCGUGGAUCAGAAUGCCACGGUGAAUACGUUCCCGGGCCUUGUACACACCGCCCGUCACACCAUGGGAGUGGGUUGCAAAAGAAGUAGGUAGCUUAACCUUCGGGAGGGCGCUUACCACUUUGUGAUUCAUGACUGGGGUGAAGUCG